AAGACUAAGGUGACAUGAUGGAGUCUUGGAUUAGGAGUGGCAUGGGGCUGGAGAGAAGCUAAUGCUAAUAGUGAGCUAAUAGUGAGCACUAUUUAGAAGACACAAUGACCAAGACUUGGAGGCUAAUUAGAUAUGGAAGUGAAGGAGAGUGAGAGAUUGAGAAUGACACCCAGGUUCUGACAACUGGGUUUAGGAACAAAGACAGUCACCGGUGACCUUGACAGGUGCUAUUUCAGUGGAGUGCGAUGUCAGAAGGCAGAAGUAAUGAAUGGGCAGUGAAGUGGAAAGACUGAAUAUAGACAUCUCUCACAAGACUUGUCAGUGAAGGUAUGGGGGAAUAGGGCAAGCCAGAGAGGAGCCAGCAUGGAGGAAGGGUCAUUUAUUUGGGUUAAGGUAGGAGAGACUGGAUUAUGUUUAAAUGCUAAAAGCAAUGAUAUUUUAGAGAAAGAGGUGAAGAUGCACAGAGAUGCCACUGGGUGGUGGGAGGGGGUGGCCUUAGGAGGAAGGGUGAGAGGGGAAGUCGGUGCAUUUGUGGGUUUGAGAGCCGAAGUGGAGGGUGUCCCCUGCGAUGGCAUCUGUCCUCUCUCAGGUUGGGAGGAAGUGGUAGGGUCGGAGGUCUGAGAAGACAGGAGAUUUGGAAUAGCUGCUUUAGGGAGCAGGGGGCAGUGUAGGAGACUUAGAAGACACUCUGGGCGAACUGAGUGCUCGGGCGAGAGGGAGGCCAGAAUCCACGGCGGGAGCAGGCACGAAAAGGGAGCCGCUUGUCACAGGUCUGCCUUCCUCCCUGCCGCCGAUUUCUUUCUGAACGCAGAGGUCACGUGCGGGCACUCAAAAGCUCUCAGUGACCUCUUCGUCCAAGGAGAAAGUCCAGCUCCCCAGCCUAACAAUUGAGGGCUUCCACUUGGGGCCCUGGCAGAACUUGCCAGCUUUGUUUCCUGUCCCGGCACAGUCGCACUGAGGAACCACACAGAUCCCCUGAUUGUCCCCUACACACACUGUGCACUCUCCUGCCUAAAGCAAGACGGAGACAGCUGAUUCUCAAGUGGUUUAAGGGUUAUGCUGUCAGUUUUCAAACUCCUCUGACGCCAGCAAGGCAAGGGCCUAGACCACAUGACUCCGGGCUUCCAGAACCACAUUCAUAAGACUCUGCUUUAAUCCUGGCUUCAUUGUAACCCAGGUACUGGCAAGGAGAGUAGAUGCAAAUCAUAAUUGGCAUGGUUACCCAUUUAGACAUGUAGAAACUGCACACACCUGGGUGUUCUCACACAGCUCUUGCCCUUGGAGCCUAUAUCAGAGGUUGU
rnacentral:lncRNA from 1 species